AACGAACGCUGGCGGCAGGCUUAACACAUGCAAGUCGAGCGCCCCGCAAGGGGAGCGGCAGACGGGUGAGUAACGCGUGGGAACGUGCCCUUUGGUUGGAACAACUCCGGGAAACUGGAGCUGAUACCGGAUAAGCCCUUCGGGGGAAAGAUUUAUCGCCAAAGGAUCGGCCCGCGUCUGAUUAGCUAGUUGGUGAGGUAAUGGCUCACCAAGGCGACGAUCAGUAGCUGGUCUGAGAGGAUGAUCAGCCACACUGGGACUGAGACACGGCCCAGACUCCUACGGGAGGCAGCAGUGGGGAAUAUUGGACAAUGGGCGCAAGCCUGAUCCAGCCAUGCCGCGUGAGUGAUGAAGGCCUUAGGGUUGUAAAGCUCUUUUGUCCGGGAAGAUAAUGACUGUACCGGAAGAAUAAGCCCCGGCUAACUUCGUGCCAGCCGCCGCCGUAA
rnacentral:rRNA from 1 species